GCCUGGGUGGCUCAGUCGAUUGAGCGUCCGACUUUCAGCUCAGGUCAUGAUCUCGCGGUUUGUGGGUUCAAGCCCCACGUCGGGCU
rnacentral:tRNA from 1 species